rnacentral:rRNA from 1 species
UGCAGUCGAGCGGACAGAUGGGAGCUUGCUCCCUGAUGUUAGCGGCGGACGGGUGAGUAACACGUGGGUAACCUGCCUGUAAGACUGGGAUAACUCCGGGAAACCGGGGCUAAUACCGGAUGCUUGUUUGAACCGCAUGGUUCAAACAUAAAAGGUGGCUUCGGCUACCACUUACAGAUGGACCCGCGGCGCAUUAGCUAGUUGGUGAGGUAANGGCUCACCAAGGCAACGAUGCGUAGCCGACCUGAGAGGGUGAUCGGCCACACUGGGACUGAGACACGGCCCAGACUCCUACGGGAGGCAGCAGUAGGGAAUCUUCCGCAAUGGACGAAAGUCUGACGGAGCAACGCCGCGUGAGUGAUGAAGGUUUUCGGAUCGUAAAGCUCUGUUGUUAGGGAAGAACAAGUACCGUUCGAAUAGGGCGGUACCUUGACGGUACCUAACCAGAAAGCCACGGCUAACUACGUGCCAGCAGCCGCGGUAAUACGUAGGUGGCAAGCGUUGUCCGGAAUUAUUGGGCGUAAAGGGCUCGCAGGCGGUUCCUUAAGUCUGAUGUGAAAGCCCCCGGCUCAACCGGGGAGGGUCAUUGGAAACUGGGGAACUUGAGUGCAGAAGAGGAGAGUGGAAUUCCACGUGUAGCGGUGAAAUGCGUAGAGAUGUGGAGGAACACCAGUGGCGAAGGCGACUCUCUGGUCUGUAACUGACGCUGAGGAGCGAAAGCGUGGGGAGCGAACAGGAUUAGAUACCCUGGUAGUCCACGCCGUAAACGAUGAGUGCUAAGUGUUAGGGGGUUUCCGCCCCUUAGUGCUGCAGCUAACGCAUUAAGCACUCCGCCUGGGGAGUACGGUCGCAAGACUGAAACUCAAAGGAAUUGACGGGGGCCCGCACAAGCGGUGGAGCAUGUGGUUUAAUUCGAAGCAACGCGAAGAACCUUACCAGGUCUUGACAUCCUCUGACAAUCCUAGAGAUAGGACGUCCCCUUCGGGGGCAGAGUGACAGGUGGUGCAUGGUUGUCGUCAGCUCGUGUCGUGAGAUGUUGGGUUAAGUCCCGCAACGAGCGCAACCCUUGAUCUUAGUUGCCAGCAUUCAGUUGGGCACUCUAAGGUGACUGCCGGUGACAAACCGGAGGAAGGUGGGGAUGACGUCAAAUCAUCAUGCCCCUUAUGACCUGGGCUACACACGUGCUACAAUGGACAGAACAAAGGGCAGCGAAACCGCGAGGUUAAGCCAAUCCCACAAAUCUGUUCUCAGUUCGGAUCGCAGUCUGCAACUCGACUGCGNGAAGCNGGAAUCGCUAGUAAUCGCGGAUCAG